UACGGGGGGGGCAAGCGUUGUUCGGAAUUACUGGGCGUAAAGGGCUCGUAGGCGGCCAACUAAGUCAGACGUGAAAUCCCUCGGCUUAACCGGGGAACUGCAUCUGAUACUGGAUGGCUUGAGUUCGGGAGGGAUGCGGAAUUCCAGGUGUAGCGGUGAAAUGCGUAGAUAUCUGGAGGAACACCGGUGGCGAAGGCGGCAUCCUGGACCGACACUGACGCUGAGGAGCGAAAGCCAGGGGAGCAAACGGG
rnacentral:rRNA from 1 species